rnacentral:rRNA from 1 species
CCUACGGGAGGCAGCAGUGAGGAAUAUUGGUCAAUGGGCGGGAGCCUGAACCAGCCAAGUCGCGUGAGGGAAGACGGUCCUAUGGAUUGUAAACCUCUUUAGGCGGGGAGCAAUGCCGGGCACGCGUGCCCGGAGGGAGAGUACCCGCAGAAUAAGCAUCGGCUAACUCCGUGCCAGCAGCCGCGGUAAUACGGAGGAUGCGAGCGUUAUCCGGAUUUAUUGGGUUUAAAGGGUGCGUAGGCGGGCUUUUAAGUCAGCGGUAAAAAUUCGGGGCUCAACCCCGUCCGGCCGUUGAAACUGGGGGCCUUGAGUUCACAACAGGCAGGCGGAAUUCGUGGUGUAGCGGUGAAAUGCAUAGAUAUCACGAGGAACCCCGAUUGCGAAGGCAGCCUGCCGGGGUGCGACUGACGCUGAGGCUCGAAGGUGCGGGUAUCAAACAGGAUUAGAUACCCCUGUAGUC